GGGGGCUUAGUGUAAAGGCAGCACAGCGGUAUUUACAGCCUGCUAGUGCCGGUCCAACUCCGGCAGCCUCCACCC
rnacentral:tRNA from 1 species